GAUGAAGAACGUAGCGAAAUGCGAUACUUGGUGUGAAUUGCAGAAUCCCGUGAACCAUCGAGUCUUUGAACGCAAGUUGCGCCCGAAACCAUUAGGCCGAGGGCACGCCUGCCUGGGCGUCACACGUCGUUGCCCCCCCAUCUACUCCUUCGGGAUUGCGAGGGGCGGAUGAUGGCCUCCCGUGCGCCUCGUCGCGCGGUUGGCAUAAAUGCCAAGUCCUCGGCGACGCACGCCACGACAAUCGGUGGUUGCGAAACCUCGGUUGCCCGUCGUGUGCGGUCGUCGCGCAUCGAGGGCUCGAAAAAAUUGCCGGGCUCCGGCUCGGCUUUCAACGCGACCCCAGGUCAGGCGGGGUUACCCGCUGAAUUUAAGCAUAUCAAUAAGCGGAGGA
rnacentral:misc_RNA from 1 species